CGUAAUCAUUUGUUGGGAAUCCGGUACUUGCCCCGAUACCGGAUUUUGUGAAUCCGCAACCUGCUUCAAUACCGACUGCUGUGGAUUCGGUACCGAUUGUUGGGAUUCCGCAACGGAAGCGUCAAAUCGGGUUUUAACCACAAACCCGUCUUCUCAGCAAAAGCUGAUACAAUCAUAAAAGAGAGAAAAAACUAAAACAGAAAAUAUCCGGGUAAAAUAAGAUUCAUUAAAUAAGAAAAUAUUACACCUGACUCCUCUUCUGCACAGAGUAGCUACAAUUCGAGCCCUCUUUCUGAAUCUCUUCUACCCUUCUCUCGUCUUCUAUAAACCCAUAAAGAAGACAAUUAUCCACGUGCACCCGUGCACUAGGUGCACUCAAUAACUCUCUCUCUCUUUUUCUCUCUCUGGUACGGCACCUCCAGGCUCUCAAUCGUACUCUUCCCAAAAGAGAGCCACAAUGCCUAUAUAUAAAGCUCGACUGAAAACGUACCCCAAUCCUAGUAUAUUUAGGAUUUCGACUUUAAUUAAUAUCUAAAUCUAUCUUAAUUAAUCUCUAAUAGAUUUAAAUAUUAAUCCUAAUCUAGUUUGCUUCAUUCUUUAAUUAAUAUUUAAAUCUUAAUUUAUCUCCAACAGAUUUAAAUAUUAAUUCUUAUCCAAAUAGGAUUCAACUACAAAUCUAACCAAAUCCUAACAAUCUCCACCUUGGUUUGAUUUGUAAUCUUCAACCACUGCGUCGAGCUCACCAUGCAAGCUCCACCUUGAGCUUGUCUCCUCCGCUCGAUGACGCCGCAUCCGUCGUUCCGCCUCGAGUGACUGCAUCUCCGCGAACUUUUGGAACCCAAACCUUCUUCGCUCCCGUUCUGACUGUACUCCCGUUCAGAACGUAUAAGUUCCCGCGCUUGUUCGCCUCGCACACGACUCGAUCUCGCUUUCGGAUCCUCAUAACUCCACCUGAAGCCGAAAUAUUGCAACCCUUCGAGUCCAACGCGUCUAACGAGAUCAAAUUUCGUCUCAAUCCAGGAACGUGUCGCACACCUGUCAACGUCCUCACAGCCCCAUCGUGCAUUCGGAUCUUCACCGUGCCGACUCCCAAAGUUUUGCACGCCGUCCCGUUCCCCAUUAGAGCCUUUCCACCCUUGAUCGUCUUAUAGGUGGCAAAAGGCUCCUUCUCCGGGUAUACGUGAAAAGAACACGCCGAAUCGAGCACCCACGGGUCAUCCGAAAUUUUCGCACCUCCGGUCGCUGCAUAUAGCACAUCAGAAUCGAUCAUCUCCGAUCCUGUCGCCUGCACCAUCGCUUAUACCGUCUCAUCCUGGUUCACGACAGUUUUCUCCUUCUGUCGCUUUAACUCCUUCAGAUCAUCCUGAAGUUUUCGACAGUUACGCUUGAUAUGCCCUUUCCUGUGACAGUAAAAGCACUCCACCUCGGAUAGUGGCUUCUUCUGUCGAUCUCCAGUCGCUGAUGUUGUCGCUUCCUUCUUCGCUCUUACUACCAAAGCAGUAUCCUGUCUCUGCAUGCCGGACUCUUGAGUCAUCUUCCGCAUCUCGUUCGAGAAGAGCGCCGCUGUGACCGUCUCUAUGCUUAUGGUCUCCUUGCCAUAAAGCAACGUGGUCACCAGAUGCUCAUAUAUCGCCGGUUGCGAAGAUAGUAAAAUCAGCGCCUUAUUUUCGUCAUCCAGAUUGACUCCGAUGCUAGUCAACUGGGCCACCACUUUGUUGAACUCGUUCAGAUGCUCAUGUAGGCUUGUCGCUUCUUGCAUCCGGAGUGUAAACAGUCGCUGCUUCAGAUACAACCUGUUCGUCAGGGAUUUGGUCAUAUACAGGUCUUCCUGUUUCUUCCACAACUUCGCCGGUGUCGUCUCGCUGGCUAUGUUGUAAAGAACCUCAUCUGCUAAUAAUAGAUGAAGCGUACUCAGCGCCUUCUGCUCCAUCUUCGUCCAUGCUGCAUCCGUGAGCCGGCUUCGCCUCCUUCCCGUUCAACGUCUCGUCCAAUUCUUGCUGUACGAGGAUCGCUCGUACUUUAAUUUGUGACAAUCCGAAAUUGUUCUUGCCGUUGAACUUCUCGAUUUCGAAUUUCGUGGCCAUCUUCGUCGAUCUCUCCCGCAGAUCCGUAACCUUUAGCUCUGAUACCAAUUGUUGGGAAUUCGGUACUCGCCCUGGUACCGGAUCUUGUGAAUCCGCAACCUGCUCCGAUACCGACUGCUGUGAAUCCGGUACUGAUUGUUGGGAUUCUGCAACGGAAGCGUCAAAUCGGAUUUUAACCAUAAACCCGUCUUCUCAGCAAAAGCUGAUACAAUCAUAAAAGAGAGAAGAAACUAAAACAGAAAAUAUGCGGGUAAAAUAAGAUUCAUUAAAUAAGAAAAGGUUACACCUGACUCCUCUUCUGCACAGAGUAGCUACAAUCCGAGCCCUCUUUCUGAAUCUCUUCUACCCUUCUCUUGUCUUCUAUAAACCCAUAAAGAAGACAAUUAUUCACGUGCACCCGUGCACUAGGUGCACUCAAUAACUCUCUCUCUCUUUUUCUCUCUAU
rnacentral:lncRNA from 1 species